rnacentral:lncRNA from 1 species
CCACCCGCGGUUAGACACCAGCCGCCCGGCUUCCCGCGGCACCAGACUUCUGCUCGCCGUUCUCACAAAAUACAACUAGCAGGCGCCGCGAACGCGCCCCAGGUGACGUCAUCGCGCCGGGCCCAGGGGUCACGUGAUUCCGCGCGCGGCCUUCGGCGGACUGCGUGGUGACGUAGGCGCGGGCGUGCGCGGCAGAAGCCAUGGCUGGUGGAUGAGGCGUGUUUGUGCGGUCGCGGACCGCUGCCGGGCAGCGUCGUCAUCCGAGGCCAUCGAGGGCCCCAGGUGGUACCUGCGCUCUGCUGAGGCCAGGUGAAGGCUUCCAGUGGACGCGGAUCCCUUCAGUCCAACUGCAGAGGCUGAGCACACCAGCCUCCACGCGGCUGCGUCUGGGGACACUUGCCCAUGAGUCUCGAGUUUCUGCAGUCCUCGGAGCGAGGUGCCGGCUGCCCUUUUGCCCAGAUUGCCUUUUCAAGGAUCUUCAAGUAGCAGACAGCCUCGAGAUGUGUGAGGUAGCGCCUCCCUCCAGAGCAGAAAGCAGCAUCUGUGAAACUGGAGUUUGUCUGCUGUCGGAUGGGAGCUAAAUCAGACCCUUACCUCCCCCAGCAGACUCUGCUCUGCGUCCCUGCCCUAGCGCAUAACAGGAAGUGCCUGCCAUCCCCCAGUGUUUCAGAAAGCCCAGGAUGCUAGAACUAGAAGAGACCUGAGAGAGGAUCCCUUUGGUGGCUGUCAGGCUGUCCAUGGAAUCUGCAGUGGUGUGGGCGCUGUAUCUGCCUCCAGAACAAGAAUCCUCGCUGUGCGGCUGACCCCGUGGCUGAGUGGUUAAGUUCGUGCUCUCCACUGCAGGCAGCCCAGUGUUUCGUUGGUUCGAAUCCUGGGCGUGAACAUGGCACUGCUCAUCAAACCACGCUGAGGCAGCGUCCCACAUGCCACAACUAGAAGGACCCACAACGAAGAAUAUACAACUAUGUACCGGGGGGGUUUUGGGGAGAAAAAAGGAAAAAUAAAAUCUUUAAAAAAAAUAAUAAUUAAAAAAAAAAAAGAAUCCUCGCUGUGCAUCAGGACCCAGGUCUCUCUGACAUCUCCUGAAUAAGGAGAAAGACAUAUUUAAUAAACAGUUUUAAAUGUGUGAUUUAGUCUAGCCUCUGUUUCUUUCUCCUUUCCAUAUGUUAGAUACAAAGAGGAAGAAGACCUUGCCAUGCUUGAAUGAGUUUCAUCUGAGUCCAAGGGAGCCCCAGGGUGUCUGACAUUCUCAGUGCUUGUGCCUUUGUAAACUGCAGAGUGGGUGAUGGGGCACAAAGACCCAUCAUCGGGGUUACCUUUAGAUCCUAGAGUGAGUUGCCUUGGCUUGAUGGUGUUCUCUGCCUCUUGAUGUCCUCUUCAGCGUGAGUCAGAUUUGGGAGUGCAGAUCAAGACCUGAGUUGAAUUGAUACCCUUAGUAUGAGUGGUGCACUCACAUAAUGUCCUAUUUCAUUUGGAAAAUAAUCCACCAAUGGGUUGCACCAACAAAUUUAGCUAAACAGCUUGAUGUUGUGUUAAGGAAUGUCGGCAGGCCAGGCCAUGCCAGGCCAGGGCUAACAGCCAUAACUGAUGUAAGGGACUACUUUUACGUUCAGUUCGCUACUGAUGUAGUGAA